rnacentral:rRNA from 1 species
GUGCCAGCCGCCGCGGUAAUACAGAGGAGCCAAGCGUUGUCCGGAUUGACUGGGCGUAAAGCGCACGCAGGCGGACGCGCGCGUGGGGUGUGAAAUCUGGCCGCUUAACGGCCAGGGGCCAUCCCAUACGGCGGGUCUGGAGCGAUGCAGAGGUCGGUGGAAUUGCCGGUGUAGUGGUGAAAUGCGUAGAGAUCGGCAGGAACACCCAGGGGGAAACCAGCCGACUGGGCAUCUGCUGACGCUGAGGUGCGAGAGCGUGGGGAGCGAACCGGAUUAGAUACCCGGGUAGUCC